UAUGUAUACUUUCUUCUUUAUGCCUGUUACAUUGCAGCCUUUUUAUCAAUUAAAUAUGCACGUAUGCUUUUCUUUGACGAUCGGACGAAGCCUAAUGCAAAACAAAACUAGAAAGAAGCGAUUUGCAUUAACUUUUUCUUUUCUGAAACUCUUUUUACUCUGCCUGCACACUGAUUGACAAGACAAAAGGUGAAAAUAUAUCGCCCAUACCUAAAUACAUAUGUAGAUAUAAGGCAGGCCUAAGAAGAAACCCAUACGCGAUUAGUGGCUGCUCACCUGUAGACACUUGACGUAGUCACCUCCCAGGGGUGGUUUCACUUUUUAAGCUGCCCGAAAUUGGACAGAACGUCGGCAAGUGCAGCGCAAGAUGUUAUCCCCCCAGCGUACAAACCAGCGACUGCGGUUGCGCAGCGUGAAUUGGACUCAGUCGACUGGAGUUAUUCAGGUUGUAAAAAUGGAAAUGCGAAAAUAAAGAAGCAACUGCAAGAGCAGUGGAAACAAGCUGGCUUGAAAUGGCGCAUAAAAAUAACAGUCACACAUAUGAACAUGUAUGCAUUGGCAUCUCGUUCAAGCCCUUCUUCGGUAAUCCACGACCAUCUUAGUCUCGAUUCCAUAAUCGUACAUAUGUACAUAUUCAUGUAUAUAUUUUACAUUUUACAUAUGAAUGCACAAAUGUGUAUUGUAGGGGGGUAUAAUUUAAAAAGUGCCUCUCUUGUUUUAUUUAAAUUUUUCAAUAACAAGUACUCAAUACUUUUGCUUUUAGAUUGUAUUUAAAUAUUUUUCGGUAUCGUUAUAAAUUCAUACAUAUAUUAAUUUAUUUACAUAACUGCAAAUUCAAAAACAUCGAUUAUAUAGUAAUCAAAGCACAUUAAAUCAAUGCUUAACAAUAAUCAAAACACUACAAAUUUAAUUCAGUAGUAUGCAGUAACUUACUUAAAACAAUAUCUACAUAAUGCUUGUGUUCUAACUACAUCAGCCGGUUGACCCUUUCAGGAAUAAUGAAAAUGCGAGAAUGAUGGAGUUAUUCAAACAGCAAAGCGAAUGCUAUAGAAGGCAGAAUAUGAGUGCUUUAGUAUGAAUAUGCUAAGUAGUCCUUUUCGGCAUUCAUACGGAAACAGCCAGUUCGACUCUACUAGUUUUCCUGAUCAAGAAUAUAUAUACUGUAUAUGGUUGGAAAUGCUUCCUUCUGCUAAUAUACGCGUUCACUCUACGAGUAACGGGUAUGAAAAUUAGUUCGGGUACUUCACUACAUUUUUAAAAUGGUUUAAGGUAUAAGUAUUCCAUACAAAAGUUAUUUAAUAUCG